GGGUCAAUAACUUAGUUAAUUAGAGCAACGGACUCAAAUUCCGUUGCUUUAGGUUCAAGUCCUUUUUGAUCUU
rnacentral:tRNA from 1 species